AUACGUAGGGGGCGAGCGUUGUCCGGAAUGAUUGGGCGUAAAGGGCGCGUAGGCGGCCCGGUAAGUCUGGAGUGAAAGUCCUGUUUUUAAGGUGGGAAUUGCUUUGGAUACUGUCGGGCUUGAGUGCAGGAGAGGUAAGUGGAAUUCCCAGUGUAGCGGUGAAAUGCGUAGAGAUUGGGAGGAAUACCAGUGGCGAAGGCGACUUACUGGACUGUAACUGACGCUGAGGCGCGAAAGUGUGGGGAGCAAACAGGAUUAGAUACCCUGGUAGUCCACACCGUAAACGAUGAAUGCUAGGUGUAGGGGGUAUCGACCCCUUCUGUGCCGCAGUCAACACAAUAAGCAUUCCGCCUGGGGAGUACGGCCGCAAGGUUGAAACUCAAAUGAAUUGACGGGG
rnacentral:rRNA from 1 species